CGAGGACGAACGCUGGGCGGCGUGCCUAACACAUGCAAGUCGAACGGGAUAGAUUGAAGGUUUACCGGAGAUCUAUUCUAGUGGCGAACGGGUGAGUAACGCGUGAGCAAUCUGCCUUGUACUGGGGGAUAACGACGGGAAACCGUCGCUAAUACCGCAUAAAACUAUGAGAUCGCAUGGUCAUAUAGUCAAAACUCCGGUGGUACAAGAUGAGCUCGCGUCCAAUUAGCUAGUUGGUGAGGUAAUGGCCCACCAAGGCGACGAUUGGUAGCCGAACUGAGAGGUUGAUCGGCCACAUUGGGACUGAGACACGGCCCAGACUCCUACGGGAGGCAGCAGUGGGGAAUAUUGCGCAAUGGAGGGAAAACCUCUGACGCAGCAACGCCGCGUGAAGGAUGAAGGUUUUCGGAUUGUAAACUUCUUUGAUCGGGGACGAAAAUGACGGUACCCGAGGAACAAGCCACGGCUAACUACGUGCCAGCCGCCGC
rnacentral:rRNA from 1 species